AGUUCUAGCUUCCCGGCUGCUUUGUUUACCCAAGCAAGCCUGGGCAAUGGCGGGCGCCCCUCCCCCAGCCUUGCUGCGGCCUUGCAGUUUGAUCUCAGACUGCUGUGCUAGCAAUCAGCGAGACUCCGUGGGCGUAGGACCCUCCUAGCCAGGUGCAAGAUAUAAUCUCGCGGUGCGCCGUUUUUUAAGCCGGUCCGAAAGCGCAAUAUUCGGGUGGGAGAGACCCGAUUUUCCAGUGAGAUGAACCCAGUACCUCAGAUGGAAAUGCAGAAAUCACCCGUCUUCUGCGUCGCUCACGCUGGGAGCUGUAGACCGGAGCUGUUGCUAUUCGGCCAUCUUGGCUCCUCUCCUGUCUGAGGUACUUCUUUAUAGCACUGCAAGAAUGGACUAAUACGCUAUGUGAAGACAAAGGGGAUGUCUGCAAGCCAGGACGAGUGCGUCUACCAGAAACUGAGUUCUGCUGGACUUUGAUCUAGGACAUCCAGCCUCCAGAAUGGAAUGUGCCAUAUGUGGAGACCUGCAUGGAAAGGAACUGAGGAUGCUCUCUCACUAAAAGCUAGAAGGAACUGAGGCCCUCAGUCAACAGUCUACAAGACACUGAAUCUUGCCAGCAGCCAAGCAGUGAGCUUGAAAGCAGAUCUAUCAUCAGCUGAACCUUCAGAUGAGACCGCAGCCUAAGCAGAUACCUUGGUUGCAGCCAUGUGAGACAACCUGAAACAGAGGGCACAGCUAAGCCUCAGCCAGGUUCAUGACCCUCUGAGGAAACUGUGAGAAAGCAAAUGUCAUUUUAAGCUAUUUAAUUUUGGAGGUAGUUUAUUACACAACAAUAAAUAACUAUUAUAAUUAUCUUGAGGAUUUAUUUCCUGGGGAGAAUACAUGGAAUUGCAUAUAUAGGUCCUCAUAUGCAGAAUACUGGUACCCUAGAGAUGUUCACCCCAGAGAUGUUUUAGGAACCUGUGAAUAUGUUACAUUAAAUGGCAAAGUUUUCCUGGAUGGUUUAAGUUUAAGAUGGAAAAGUUUUACUGGAUUAUCCAGUGGGUCCAAUCUAGUAACAUGAGUCCUUAAAAAUGGAGAAUAUUUUUUGGCCAUGAUCAGAGAGACAUGUGAUGAUGGAAAAAGUGUCAGAGAUGCAAUGUGAGGGGACUAAAACUGCUGUUGCUGACUUUAAAGAUGGAGAGAGGGGAACCCGAGUCAAGGAAUGCAAAUGGCCUCUGGAAGCUGGAAAAAGCAAGAAAUGGAUUCUCCUUUAGAGCCUGUGGAAUAAAAUGCAGUCAUGCUGACACCUUGAUUUUACCUCAGUGAGACCAAUACUGGAGUAUGACCUUCGGAGCUGUAAGUUAAUAAAUUUCUGUUGUCUUAU
ensembl:lncRNA LINC01748 long intergenic non-protein coding RNA 1748